UACAGAGGGUGCAAGCGUUGUUCGGAAUUAUUGGGCGUAAAGGGCGCGUAGGCGGUGCUGUAAGUCUGUAGUGAAAUCUCUGGGCUCAACUCAGAGUCUGCUAUAGAAACUGCAGUGCUGGAGUGUGGGAGAGGUGAGUGGAAUUCCCGGUGUAGCGGUGAAAAUGCGUAGAUAUCGGGAGGAACACCUGUGGCGAAAGCGGCUCACUGGACCACAACUGACGCUGAGGCGCGAAAGCUAGGGGAGCAAACAGG
rnacentral:rRNA from 1 species